GCCUUGGUAGUGAAAUGGUAGACACGCGAGACUCAAAAUCUCGUGCUAAAGAGCAUGGAGGUUCGAGUCCCACCAUGGCU
rnacentral:tRNA from 1 species